rnacentral:rRNA from 1 species
UUAAGUUAUUAAGGGCGCAUGGUGGAUGCCUUGGCACUAGGAGCCGAUGAAGGACGGGACUAACACCGAUAUGCUUCGGGGAGCUGUAAGUAAGCUUUGAUCCGGAGAUUUCCGAAUGGGGGAACCCAACUUGUUAUGCAAGUUAUCACCUAAUGAAUAUAUAGUUAGGUUGAAGGUAGACGUUGUGAACUGAAACAUCUCAUUAGCAACAGGAAUAGAAAGAAAAAUCGAUACCGUCAGUAGCGGCGAGCGAAAUCGGUAGAGCCCAAACCAAAGUGCUUGCACUUUGGGGUUGUAGGACUGACAUUGUGGAGUUACAAAGUUAGCAUUUAGCAGAAUCAGCUGGGAAGCUGAGCGAGACAGGGUGAUAGCCCCGUAUGCGAAAAGUGUUGACCUCCCGUCAGGAUCCUGAGUACGGCCGGACACGUGAAAUCCGGUCGGAAUCCGCGAGGACCAUCUCGCAAGGCUAAAUACUCCCUAGUGACCGAUAGUGAACCAGUACCGUGAGGGAAAGGUGAAAAGCACCCCGGAAGGGGAGUGAAAAAGUUCCUGAAACCAUGUGCCUACAAGAAGUUAGAGCCCGUUAAUGGGUGAUAGCGUGCCUUUUGUAGAAUGAACCGGCGAGUUACGAUACCAUGCAAGGUUAAGGUGGAAAGACCGGAGCCGUAGCGAAAGCGAGUCUGAAAUGGGCGAAUUAGUAUGUUGUUGUAGACCCGAAACCAGGUGACCUACCCAUGUCCAGGGUGAAGGUGCGGUAAAACGCACUGGAGGCCCGAACCCGUGCAUGUUGAAAAAUGCUGGGAUGAGGUGUGGGUAGCGGUGAAAUUCCAAUCGAACUUGGAGAUAGCUGGUUCUCUCCGAAAUAGCUUUAGGGCUAGCCUCGGAAUGUAGCGUGUUGGAGGUAGAGCACUGUUUUGGUGCGGGGCCCAUCUCGGGUUACCAAAUUAAGAUAAACUCCGAAUGCCAAUCACGUAUGUCCGGGAGUCAGACAGUGAGUGAUAAGAUCCAUUGUCGAAAGGGGAACAGCCCAGAUCGUCAGUUAAGGUCCCUAAGUGUGUGUUAAGUGGAAAAGGAUGUGGAGUUGCAUAGACAACUAGGAUGUUGGCUCAGAAGCAGCCACCAUUUAAAGAGUGCGUAAUAGCUCACUAGUCGAGUGAUUCUGCGCCGAAAAUGUACCGGGGCUAAACACACCACCGAAACUACGGGUGCCACGUAAGUGGCGCGAUAGGAGAGCGUUCUAAGGGCGAUGAAGUCAGACCGUGAGGACUGGUGGAGCGCUUAGAAGUGAGAAUGCCGGUAUGAGUAGCGAAAGACAGGUGAGAAUCCUGUCCACCGUAUGACUAAGGUUUCCUGGGGAAGGCUCGUCCUCCCAGGGUUAGUCGGGACCUAAGGCGAGGCCGAAAGGCGUAGUCGAUGGAUAACAGGUUGAGAUUCCUGUACCAGGUGAACAUGUUUGAACGAUGGAGGGACGCAGAAGGCUAACGGAUCCCAGCUGCUGGAUAUGCUGGGUUAAAUAAUAAGUCUUAGAUCGAGUUAAAUGCUUUAUCUUUUAAGGACAAGUUAUGAUGAGGACCGAAAUAAAGUAGGGAAGUCCGUGAUGUCACGCUGCCGAGAAAAGCUUCUAGUUAGUGUUUACCUGCCCGUACCGCAAACCGACACAGGUAGUCGAGGAGAGCAUCCUAAGGUGAGCGAGUGAACUCUCGUUAAGGAACUCGGCAAAAUGACCCCGUAACUUCGGGAGAAGGGGUGCUCAGCGAAAGCUGAGCCGCAGUGAAUAGGCCCAGGCGACUGUUUAUCAAAAACACAGGUUUCUGCAAAAUCGUAAGAUGACGUAUAGGGGCUGACGCCUGCCCGGUGCUGGAAGGUUAAAAGGAGUGCUUAGCUUCGGCGAAGGUACGAAUUGAAGCCCCAGUAAACGGCGGCCGUAACUAUAACGGUCCUAAGGUAGCGAAAUUCCUUGUCGGGUAAGUUCC